rnacentral:lncRNA from 1 species
GGGCACGACAUCACUCGAUAUCACCAGUGUUGGCCGAGGACAGAUCCCAUUCCACGGACCAAUAUUCUGGAAGAGCAUAGGGCCAUGACAGGGAAAGAGUAGGGUCUUCAAAGGCUUUACCUGAAAAACAUAAAACUAGCAAGGCUGAGUAUACUAAUACUCAGCAAGGCUUACCCGGGAUUGGGUAUACUGUCGGUGUUUAACCGGCUGCCCACCGAGGGAUAUACCCAAGGUGGUAAGUUUUGGGUGAGGGAACGCCGAGAUCAGGAACUCGAAGGUGCAAAGAACACAAGACUUUAGACAGGUUCGGGCCGCACGGGGCGUAACACCCUACGUCCUGUAUGGUGGUUUGUAUUCUUUUUGGUGUAGAAUGACCUAAUGAUCUUCUGUUUUUAGGGGGGUCUCUGACCUCCCUUUUAUAUCCGAGAGGCCAGAGUUACAAAGAUGCUAACCAACCCCCACUGAGGGAUCACACCAGAACUGAUCUCGAGUAGAUCCUCUCCGUGUUGGUUAGCCCUAUCUCCUAUUUAAACGGGAUAAACAAGAGAUAAACAAAAUGAAUAAGAGAUAAGACGGGCUUAAUCUCUUAGACUACAUAACAUGCCCAGCCCGGUGGCCCCGGGUCUGACAAGCCCCCGAGCUCUUCGUAGCUAAGUAUUGCAGACUUAUCGAGUACUUUCAAAACUGUCUUCGACUUCUUCUGACGAUUCGUUUUGAAGUCCUUCUUCGAGUACUUGCUUGGCUGCAUCGAAGCUAGGAGGUGCUCAUGCCCCGAAUUUUAUUUCUGACAUGGCGUGCGAUUGCAAAAUCGCACUCCAUAUGGAGUAGCCCCCGAGCCUUAUGUUGAAUCGUAGGAUCGGGCUGAGGGUCCCACUUGUCUGUAGUCUUCCUUACCCUUCAAAGAACUUUAAAAAAUAAGUAGUCGAUGCCACAUACCCCACAGCCCCCGAGCCUUGAAUCCAAAUCCCACAAAGUUGGAGAUAAGGGUCCAAAAAUCGUGGCAUACAGGCUAAACAAUAACACGCUACGGGGGAGACCGAAGCGAUGGUACAAAUGAUGUAAUUAGACCAAAGAUUCAAAAAACCCCUUUUUUCGGGCUAAUUGGCCCUGAAAAAAUGAUUAAUCAAAGGUGCAAUCUAAUCAGAUCACCAAAUGACCCCUCAUCUUCGGAAUAUUCCACGAAACGACUCUUGAACUUCAAAACAGUAACUUUCCCCCACUCCGCUGGUUAUUUAACCCCGCGAUAACUGUAGGAAAAAAUCACGCUUUCAAUCUGCAUUCCAUCAAGAGCCACCAAAUUCCCCAGUCCAAACCAAGCGCCGCCGCCUUCCCCCAAGAAAAACUCCCACCCCGACCUCCCCGCCCCUCUCCCCGCAGCCCCCGAGCAUCUCGUGGCCGGCGCGUCGGAGAUGACGUCCAAGAAGUCAGAGAUCGAGGGAAUGAAGAAGGAUGCGGGACCAACAACCGCGGAGUGGACACACAGUAAGUGCUCCCUCAACAAUUUGAAAAAACUUAUUUCUAAGGGGUUGCUGCAAUAGAAAAAUCUCGUCAACUGGCGCCCCUCCUUCCGGGAACCUUUCCCCAUGGAGAAUGUUGACGAAAUCGUCACAUUUUACCAUUUUGCCGAACGGGGAUUGGCCCUCCCCACUUGUUCUUUCUUCCGCGGCCUUCUUUACUACUACGGGCUUGAGCUCCAUCACCUCAACCCGAAUUCCAUCUGCCACAUCUCUAUUUUCAUCCACUUUUGUGAAGCAUUUCUCGGAAUUGAACCCCACUGGGAUCUAUUCCGCUUCCUCUUCCGCGUGAAACCCCAGCCAACCACGAAAAAACUCGCCGUGGUAGGGGGCGCCGGCAUCCAACUGCGACAGCAGGCCGGCGAGAAAUACCUUGCAUAUAGAUUCCCCUCCAACCUUCCUGGGUGGAAAAACCUCUGGUUUUACAUCGAGAACCAUGCUCCCCCCCUGCCGACGAAGUCGAGCGAACCACCCGUGGUGAGGGGGAGUGGAACCUUGAACCCUCCGGCAUGGAAAUGAUUCAAGUCAAGGAGCUGCUGGAGGCCAUCGAUGCAUUGAAGAAGGAGGGGGUGACCGGCGCCUCCGUCAUGUUCUCCUUUUACAAGCGCCGCGUCCAGCCCAUCCAACAGAGGUGUUGCCUGGGCUUCGAGUACACCGGCCCUGCUGAUUCUUCUCGCAUGUGCACAGAGGAGGUGCCAGAUGAAGUCGCGCUCCAGCGGGUUUAGCGGGUGCUGCUGGACGUGAACACCAGGCCGUACAUACCCACCUUGUACUCCGCGCAACAUCCGCCCCCGCCGGUAAGUGCUCGACUUCUUUUGCUGAAGAAAUCGACUACUGCGCCGGUACUGAACUGAAGGACUUUCCGCAGGGACAUUCGGAACUUUACUGCAGCUACCCGCCGCAGCCGGACCUCCCCCGAGCGUAUCACCUCCUUCCUUCUGCAGUCACGGCGGCCAAGAAGGCUCGCCUUGCUGCGACCCAAAGCCGCAACGAGGCCGCCGAACGCGUGGACUUGCCAGCGGGGGAAGACGCCGAGGGAGGUCCGCGCCCUGUUGCCGCCGUUGCCACCAAGGCGGCACGCAAUACUGCGGUUCAAGGCAGCAGCGAGUCCAUGGAGUGCGUGGGCUCGCAGGCGAGCGGAGGGACCGUGGGGGAGCCGCGCGGGAACAACUCCUCCGAUCAGAGCGUGGAGUUGGCCGGCGCUCUGCCACCGGUGCCGAAGGGCCAGCGCCAGGUGCGCAAGCGCAAGGCUCAAGAAGUCGAGUCCUCCAGGUACGGAAUUGCUGUUUUGGCCAGUUCCAAAGUUUCCAUGGUGCUGAGUACUGACAGCACCCCCUUGCAGUCUUCCUGCUCUGCCAUCCGGAUCUGAACCCGAAAGGGUGGAUACAGGCUCCUCUGACGCCGCGGCAGUGACAAUUGUCGUGGCGGGAACCCCUCCAUCAGCCGGCCAGGCCUCGCCAUCAGCGACGAGCGUUCCUCGGCGGGCCUGGCGGGUGAAGAAGGCUGCCAAGAAGAAGUCGACACUGUAAGUUUUACUUCAAUCGCUUGAAGAUCUUGACCGUGCCCGCGUGGAUAACCAUGUUGUCGAUGUCACCAGGGCUGCAAGCGCGGUGCAACUCCAGCUGGAGCCGAGCAGGGCUGCGGUGCCUGCCUCAGCUGCAGCAGCCCCUGAGCCCUUGGCGCCUGGGGGGCCCGUACCAGCAAAGGUGGCCCCUGAAGCAGAUGCGGGGCUCCCCGACUUGCCGCCUCCCGAGUCCCGACGAGAAGGAGCCGGACCCGGUGGCGAUGAACAAGUCGUGGCCCCAGAAGCGGAUGCGGGGCUCCCCGACUUGCCGCCUCCCGAGUCCCGACAAGAGGGAGCCGAGCCCAGUGGCGAGGAACAAGUCGCGGCCCCUGGUGCCGCUCCCACCGGUGGCGCAGGUACGAGCUUUCCCGCCCGCGGCUUGAUGUCAGGGUCCGGGCAUAAUGUGGUGACCACUUCGCAUGCUCGCAGGUGUCCAGCCGCCGCCGUCCGGAGAAGCCGCCGGGCCCUCGGGGAGUCCUCGUGAGGUGCUGAGGGCCGGGCCAGGGCACCAGGACAUCAUCACCACCGACCUGGUGGAUGAUCUUCUGCUGACGGCCGAAAAUGUGAAGACUUUCAAGAGCACCUUCAAGGAGUUAUACGACUUCUCCAUGGUAAUACUCGGGUAAUGGUCCGGGUGCGCGCGUUGAUGAAUUGUUUAGGACUCAUUCUCCUCCUUUGGCGCAGCAUGUGAUCACCAAAUCCCAGAAGAAGUCGGAUAAACUCCGUGCGGUUUUGAGUGACGCGCGGGAGUUAGGUGCCCUGCACAAGCGCAUCUCCGAGGAGAAGACGAAGAAUUGCUAUAUGCAGCGCGAGCUUGAUAUACUGAAGAAAGAAAGGACUCGAGAGACCUGGCUGCUCAAGAAUGACCUGAAAAACAUGGAGAAGGCCAACUCCGAGCUCCAACAACAGCUCAAGGAGCAACAAGCGGAGUACCAGGAGCAGCUCAAGGCAGAGAAAAAGGCGCACCAAGGUAAGCUCUCGCUUUCCUCGAGUACUUUUUCCUUAGUGAGUCUCCUUAGAUGCUGAAGUACCCUUGCCGCAGAGCUUAGGAAAAUAACGAAAUAAAAAGAGGAGCUGCUUACUGACGUGAAGAAUAUGCUGUAUCGUCGUACAGAUGAAGUCGAAAAGCUGCAGAAGGUGAUCGGCGACACUGAGCGUCAGUUCGUCGACUGCCUUCAGCAAGUCAAGGCGCUGGGCGAGAAGGACGAGCAGAUGCGCAAGGAGCUGGAGGACCUCCGGGAAGCCGCCCAGGAGCUGGUGGACAUGGUGGAUCCCCCAGAAGAAGGCGAGGCAGGCCCGCGGCCCCUGCUGGAGCGACUCCGUGAAGCCCCGAAGAAAAUGCUCAAGUUCCUAUCCGAAGCUCCAGUCGCUUGCGUGAGCAACGCCCUCGCAUAUGUAAAGUCCUUCGUGCCGAAUGCACAGCUAGGCAUUUUUGCGCAGGGGAUGGCGGCGGACUGCUCAAACGAGCGUUUUGAAGAGUACCUGCGAGAAGCCCAACCUGUAGCAGAACAAAUUGUACACAGUGUGCUGCAGGAUUAGGGUAUGAGAAACAAGUAAUCAUUCCCUUGUAUAUAUGGUUAUUUUGAUGUCUCUACUUGUGUGUGUGUGUGCCUAUGCUGGGCGGGUGUCCAGGCUUUCAAGGCGCAAAUAGUAGACACUACCCCGGGGCGCAACGACCCUGAAGGUAGCCAUAGCUCCGUGUAGGAACUCGUCUAACGAAGUAUCCACAACCCGAUCUUGUAGGUCUAGACUCGUUAGGAAAGAACGCGAGCAUCGUCGCGGGGCUGCCGUGCGUAGGGCAAAAGGUUAGGACUAGCUCGAGUGCAGCGACUCUGAGUGUAGUCGAAAAUCGCUCCUGCUUGUGAGCGCGCUCCGUAAGCUGAGUGAGACCCGGGCGGACGGAUCGAGCCUGUUAGGAGCAGGUGCGGUCGUUGCCGCGUUUUGGCCAUUCUUCUGGCAAAAACAUGACUGUUCUGAGUGCAACCACUCAGGAUGUAGGCGAGGUGGCUCUUUGUGCGAACCUUUCCAACGCGCUGUUUUUAGCCAGUCGAGCGGAUCAACUGAGUUGGACAAAGUGCGACAUCGGUCGCGUGUGACCACCUAAGGUCGCGGCGGAACUCGAUAUAUCGAGGAGUUUUAGCCGAAGCGGAUGGUUCGACAAAAAAUAAAGUCGAUAAGCUGUGAAUGUAGUCAUAACUUUAUUCACGACGAGUAGCCAGCUUACACGAGAGUUUCGCCCGUGGCCGUGGCUGUCGUGCGCCGGAGAGGGAAUGUGCGACCCGAAUAUUGUGGCUUGUAGCCUCCAAUAUGAAUCGGGGAAAGGAGAUCUUCCAAGCCCCCGGGGAAUUCGGAUACCACCGGGCGUUUGCUUAUGGGUAGAACUUGCGCAGGUGUUGGACGUUCCAGGAAUUUGGGACGUCCUGGCCUUCGAGGCACUGUAGUCGAUACGACCCUGGCCGUGUGACCUGCUUGACGACGAACGGGCCCUCCCACCUUGAGUUGAGCUUGUGUAGGCCAGAUUCGUCCUGGAUACGACGCAAGACCAAUUCACCAACACUGAAUGACCGCUCCUUGACGUUGCGAUCGUGGUAUCGGCGGAUCCCCUGCAGGUACCGGGCUGACUGGACAAGAGCGGUGCAACGAGCUUCUUCCACAGAAUCGAGCUCUAACUGCCGCGCCUCGUCCGCCUCGCCUUCAUUGUACAUUUCGACCCUUGGGGACUUCCACAUGAUAUCGGCUGGUAAAAUGGCUUCGGAUCCAUAUACAAGGAAGAAGGGUGUUUGGCCUGUGGCUUUGGACGGCUGAGUCCGAAGCCCCCAGACUACAUGCGGCAGCUCGUGCACCCAUUUGCCUCCCUUCUUGCUGUUUUCGUCAUAUAGUUGCUUUUUGAGACCGUCGAUUAUCAAGCCGUUCGCCCGCUCGACUUGUCCAUUGGCUCGCGGGUGUGCGACUGAGACAUAUUUAACUUCGAUGCAAGCAUUCUCGCAGAACUCCCAGAACUGGUUCGCCGUGAAGUUUGAUCCCAAGUCCGUGAUAAUGGAGUUGGGGAAGCCGAAACGAUGCAGAAUAUCUGAGAUGAAGUCGACGACCCGAUCUGGUGUGAGCUUGGCUAUCGGCUUGUACUCGAUCCACUUGGUAAACUUGUCGAUAGCCACCAGAACAUGGGUGAAACCGCCUGGUGCUGUCGUGAAGGGCCCAAUCAUGUCAAGACUCCAACAGGCGAAAGGCCAGGACGGCGGUAUGGUGAUGAGGCUGUGAGCUGGAACGUGCGUCUUUUUGCCGAAGAAUUGACAGUUUUGGCACCUGCGCACGAGAUCCUCCGCGUCGGUCACCGCGGUGGGCCACCAGAAGCCGGCUCGGUAGGCUUUCCCCACCAGCGUUCUUGAAGCCGCAUGAUUACCGCAGACGCCGUCGUGGAUCUCCCGCAGUAUGGCGUAACCAUCUUCCUUGGUGACGCACUUCAUGAGAACCCCUGACCGGGCGCCUCGCCGAUAGAGCUUGUCAUUGGCCAGGACGAAACCCUUGCUUCGUCGCAAGAUGCGAGCUGCGUGAGCGCUCCUGGCGUCGACUCCCGCUGGCAACCGUUGAUCUCGUAUGAAGUCGAUAAAAGCCCCUCGCCAGUCUUCCUCCAGCACCAUAACCUCUCGAUCGGGUUGUUGGGGACCCGCGUCGAUGGCUACUUGCGGAGAAGACUUGAUCGAUGGCUGGUUGAGCUCUUGGACGAAGACUCCCGGCGGGACCUGGGCGCGCGUGGACCCCAGUUUAGACAGGAUGUCCGCACCGACGUUGUGCUCCCGUAAUACAUGAUGAACUUCCAGGCCGGAGAACUUGCUUUCCAACUUGCUCACUUCCUGCACGUAAGCGUCCAUUGUUUCCUUGUUGCAAUCCCAUUCCUUGUUGACCUGCUGAACAACAAGGAGAGAGUCGCCAUAUACAAGUAGUCGCUUGAUCCCUAGUGAUAUCGCCAAAUGAAGCCCGUGAAGCAAAGCUUCGUACUCGGCUUCAUUGUUGGAUACCGCCCACAGGAUCUGAAGGACGUACUUCAACUGCUCACCUCGUGGGGAAAUAAGCAGAACCCCAGCGCCACCGCCGUCGAGCUUGAGGGACCCGUCGAAAUACAUGGUCCAAUGCUCUGGCUUGUCCACUGGAGUUGGGACCUGAUUCUCUCUCCACUCAGCCAUGAAGUCGACUAGAGCCUGUGAUUUGAUUGCGGUGCGUGGCUUAAAGUCUAUUGACAAAGCCCCCAGUUCCACUGCCCACUUGGAUACACGUCCCGUGGCAUCUUGAUUAUGCAGAAUAUCCGCCAGCGGAAAGUCCGUGAUCACAGUGAUAUUGUACUCAUCGAAGUAGUGGCGCAGCUUUCUGGAUGUGAUCAAGAUAGCGUACAAAAGCUUUUGAACAGCGGGAUACCGUACCUUGGAUUCGGAGAGGACCUCGCUGACGAAGUAGACAGGCCUCUGCACUCUAAACGCAUGGCCUUCUUCGCCUCGCUCGACUACAAUAGCACUGCUGACGACAUGAGUUGUUGCCGCAAUGUAAAGUAGUAGAUCCUCCCCUGGCAACGGUGCUGUGAGGAUUGGAGGUGACUGCAGAUGAUGUUUCAGAUCUUGUAAAGCUCGCUCGGCCUCCUCCGUCCAUUGAAACUUAUCCUGUCGUUUCAGGAGCUUGAAGAAGGGUAGUCCUCUCUCCCCGAGUCGGGAGAUGAACCUGUUCAGAGCCGCCAUACAACCUGUUAACUUUUGCACAUCCUUGACUGUGGCCGGAGCCUCCAUAUCAGUGAUGGCCGUGAUCUUCACGGGGUUGGCUUCAAUGCCUCGGUUGCUGACGAUGAACCCGAGCAAUUUCCCUGAAGGUACGCCGAAGACGCAUUUGGUGGGAUUGAGUUUCCACCGGAAUCUGCGCAGACUAUCGAAUGUCUCCUCCAAAUCCGCGAUCAAGUUAUCGGACUCCCUGGUCUUGAUGACCACGUCAUCCACAUAAGCCUCGACAUUUCGAUGCAGCUGAUCCGCGAAACACAUCUGGAUUGCCCGCUGAUAUGUCGCACCUGCAUUUUUCAACCCGAAGGACAUUGUUUUGUAGGCGUAGGUUCCGUACGGGGUGAUGAAUGCAGUCUUGAUUUGGUCCUCCUCUUUGAGCGCAAUCUGAUGAUACCCUGAGUAACAAUCAAGAAAACAAAGAAGGACACACCCGGCCGUCGAAUCGACGACUUGGUCAAUGCGCGGCAGCCCAAAAUGAUCUUUUGGGCAAUGCUUGUUGAGAUUGGUGUAGUCGACACACAUUCUCCAUUCAUUAUUCUUUUUCUUUACAAGGACGGGAUUCGCUACCCACUCUGGAUGGAUUACUUCUUUAAUGAAUCCAGCCGCGAGAAGUUUAGCGAUCUCCCGUUUAAUGGCCUCACGCUUGUCGUGGGCAAACCUCCGCAGGCGUUGCUUCUUAGGCGUAGCCUUCGGGUGUACAUUCAAGGCGUGCUCGAUCAGCUCCCUGGGCACCCCUAGCAUAUCCGCUGGUUUCCACGUGAAUAUAUCUCGGUUAGCCCGAAGAAAGCUGACGAGCGCGAGUUCCUAUUUGUCACCCAAGCCCGCACCAAUGAUGGCGGUCUUGGAUGAAUCUCCCUCCUGGAGCUGGAUCGUCUUGAGGGCCACAUCAUCAGUCGACUGGAUGCUCGACUUGUUAGCCUUCUUGGAUGGAAUCUCCAGCCCGGUCUGGGAGAGCUGCUGCGCGGCCGCGAGUACUUCUCCCGAAGCAUCUGGCACGCGAGUAGUCGAGGCGUACUGGAUCGCCUCCUGAUUGCAAUCGUGCGACUUCUUCAGGUCACCACGAAGGGUGAGUACUCCACCGAGUCCUGGCAUCUUAAGAAGCAGAUAGACAUAAUGCGGCACUGCCAUGAACUUGGCAAGUGCCGGGCGACCCAGUAUUGCAUGGUAAGAGGAGUCAAAGGUAGCCACCUCGAACUUGAUAAACUCGGUGCGAUAGUUCUCCCUCGUGCCAAAGGUAACUGGGAGGACCACCGUACCGAGCGGAUGCGCCGCGUUACCUGGGACAAUGCCGUAGAAGGGGGAUUUGCUGGGAACCAGCAUGUCCUUAAAAUCCAGGCCCAUUUUCUUCAGAGUGCUGACGAAGAUAAGAUUGAGCCCGCUCCCGCCAUCGAUCAAGACCUUGGUAAGAUUGACCUCCGCCACCACAGGAUCCAGGACCAGGGGAAACUUGCCGGGCUCGGAGAAACUCGUCCACUGGUUAUCACGAGAGAACGAGAUGGGGACCUCCGACCAACGGAGUGGUCGUGGUACCUCCGGCUCGAUGGACAUGAUCUCCCGGAGGAGCAGCUUCUGAUCCCGCCUGGAACAGAAAUCCUCAUCCCCCCCGAAGAUGACGUUGACCACCUUCGACGCAUCCUGAAACUUCGGAUUGUGCCCGUGAUCCUCCUGAUCAUCGUCCUCGGGUUCUUUGUCACCAGGCUUCUUGUUCUUCCUGCCGCCACCGGAAUUGCUGAACGUCCUCCGAAGGUGAUAGCAGUCGAUGGCAGCGUGGUUGGCGCCUGGAUGCCACGGGCACUUCUUUUGUAGGAGCUUCUCGAACUCCUCCUGAGUUGUCGACUUCUUUCCCCGCGAAGGACGAUCGAUAGCCGCGAUGACAUCAUCUGGCUUUCGUUUCCGGGGUGGCCCGGAAAAGUCCCGCUGGCCUUUGUCGCUGCGGUUGUCGUUUGGGCGCCGCAGAUUGCUAUCAUGGCGCCGCGGGAACCGCUCCCGCAUCUUCUCCUCCUGCUCGGACCAAUCGUGCAUCAUAUCACGAAGGCCCGCAACGGUUUUCGGCCUGUUCCGCCCGAAAUCUCUGUAUAUGCUCGGGUCGGUGAUGCCGUUGUAAAAGCAGUCGAUGAUGUCCUCCUCCGAGAUGUUCGCGAUGGUGGCGCGGACGUCGAAGAAGCGACGCGUGUAGGACCGUAGAAGCUCGUUACGUUCCUGCUUGCACUGGGCAAGAUCGUGCCGAGUACCUGCACGGGUAAUUGCUCCCUGGAAAUUAUCGAUGAAGACCUUCUUAAGUCGUUCCCAGGAGUCGAUGGAGUUGCUGCCGAGGCUCUCCAGCCAAGUGAGCGGCGCAGGGUCCAAAGCCAUCGGGAAGUAGACGACUUUGGUGAUAUUUGAGCCCCCCGCGACGUCAAUGGCCGUGGAGUAGCAACGAAGCCACUGCUGGGGAGCCUGCUUGCCGUCGUACUUGGUGAUGCCGAUCGGCUUGAAGCCCUCCGGGUACUUGUAGCUGCUGAAACGAGCAGAGAAAGCAGGAAAUCGAUCGCUACAAUCAGUACCUUCAGCUUCGACUUCUUCGCGAGUCUUGCGCCUGGAGGAGAUCACGGUGCGCGCGUCGUGACCGUCAUUGAUGUGCUGGCGCAGGUCCUCCGGAGGAGGUCGUCGACUGGCCUGUCGCGGACGACCCCCUUGCGGUGGCUGUUGCCUCCCGCCAGGGGCCUGGCUCGCGCGUGCGUUGUCGUUGCUGAUCUGAUUUGGAGGACGACCACCAGUCGUUCGACUGCGAGCCUGGCUCCGGCUCUCGUCCACGCGCUCUUCCCGGAUGAUGGACGCCGGAUUAUGCUGAUCCAACUGGAUCCAAGCCCUCUGCGCAAAGAGGAGUGCUUGACGUACCUCCGGGUCGUGGCUGCGCUCGAGAAUGGCCGUGACCCUGGCAAUGUUGGCCACCGGGGUCCUGAAGCCCCGCUCGCUUACGGCAGCAAACUCGGGGUCGAGCUCGCGAUGCAUAGAUCGCCUUCGCUCGUUAGCUCUCCUUCGCCGGAUCGUUCGGGCCCUGUUCCUGGCCCUCCGCGCCUCACGAUCGGCGUCGUUCUCGUUACCGGCGUUGGCCGUGAUCUCAUCGUCAGAUAUCACAUCCAAGUUGUCGAUGAGGAGAUUCCCACCGUCCUCGCCUUCUUCGGCCAUCAGCACCUGGCGGGAGGAAAGCUCAUGAGAACUUUCGUCGACUAGCUCCGUCGACUCCUCCGCCACGGUGGCCAACGGCCUGCCCUCCUGGAAAGGCAAUGGCUCGAGGUGAGCCACGAGCCGACUCUCUACCUCGAGUAGAUUGGAGAGCUUCAUGCCCUUCCAAUGCACGAUGUGUCCUUUUGGCGAGGAAGCGAUCACCAAAUCACCGGGGCCAAAACAACCCGAAGCCCCCCGACACGCGGUGGCUUCGGAGUUUCCGUCCCGGAGCAGCAGAUCCCGAUCCUUCUCUAACAUGAAGAGGGAUCUGAGCGCAUUGGCCUCCUGAAGAUCAGUGGCCAAUUCGCGCAAGCCGGGUUGAGUACGACUCAACGAAUCCCUGAAUUGGAACGAGUCCAAACCAGGAGAAGUUGUCGCAGCAUCAGAAGAAGUCGAGCUUGGUACAGAUUCCAUCUCGACCUGUGCCGCGGAAGCAUGGAGCGGCAAGUUGUCGAGCUCGUCGACGAACUUGUCGAGGCCGCUGCGAGGAUCCGCAGCGACGGUUUUCGGCGUCAUGUCGACGAGGAAUCACCGAAAGUUGCCCGCACCGUCUGUGACGCAAACCCACGAGCCAAAAACAAACGUCGUACCCUGAGAGGGUACUGACCUGAUGAAACUGAAAGUUGCCAUCGAGCUCGCCGGCGGAUCUUCGACGCGCUCCCCUACCUGGCGCGCCAACUGUAGGUGUUUAACCGGCUGCCCACCGAGGGAUAUACCCAAGGUGGUAAGUUUUGGGUGAGGGAACGCCGAGAUCAGGAACUCGAAGGUGCAAAGAACACAAGACUUUAGACAGGUUCGGGCCGCACGGGGCGUAACACCCUACGUCCUGUAUGGUGGUUUGUAUUCUUUUUGGUGUAGAAUGACCUAAUGAUCUUCUGUUUUUAGGGGGGUCUCUGACCUCCCUUAUAUAUCCGAGAGGCCAGAGUUACAAAGAUGCUAACCAACCCCCACCGAGGGAUCACACCAGAACUGAUCUCGAGUAGAUCCUCUCCGUGUUGGUUAGCCCUAUCUCCUAUUUAAACGGGAUAAACAAGAGAUAAACAAAAUGAAUAAGAGAGAAGAUGGGCUUAAUCUCUUAGACUACAUAACAUGCCCAGCCCGGUGGCCCCGGGUCUGACAUAUACUUUAGCCCAUAACUAGACUCAUGAAAGCUUGUAAUGGUUCCGGGUUUAGUUUUAGCUGAAAAGCAACUAAGAAUAUAACCUAUUUUCAAGUUUUAGCUUUCAGAUUCUAGUUUGAUUAGCCAUUCUAGGUAACCACCUAUACUAAACAAGCAAGAUAGAUAUUAUCAUCCAUCAUGAUUAUUCCAUCAACAAUUACACUUUUUACUCGAUGUGGCAAAAGGGAUAAGCAGUCUCAAUCCUCGUGAGAGGCGGACGAUCCGAAUCGAAUUUAACCUUGCAAGGUAAACCUAACACACACGCUUGGAAUACCAACAGGGCGUUCCGAAGCAACCGUUUACCUCAUAUUCCGGGUUAUGGAUCGGGGCCACCACAAGCGACUGCAGGACCGUACGCACAUCACUCGUGCAGGACAUAUGUCUGUAGCGCGACUACAAAACCCGUAUUCCUAUCUGCCAUGCAGAAUGUACUCCCACACGUCGGUGCAUGUAAACAUAAAAUAAAAGUCGAGUGGUGGAGACAAGUCCAUUUGCCGGGCCAUUCGGGUACUAGGCUUACCGCUUACCAUAUUUCGCGGUAUGUGGCUAGUACUUUCAAAAGCUUAGCCACCACUACCACACAUUUCGACCUUAAAACUUUUAUCAAAACAGACAGGGUAAUCCUCAGGUCAUGAUACAGCACAUGACCCUGUCCAUCAUCCUUAUAGUGAUUGCAGAAUUGUAAACAAGCAACUCUUAUAUCGCGCGAGUGACAGGAAAUCACCCGACUUUUACCGGCCCUAUUUAGCAGAGCAUCUAAGCGAUAAGGACUCAGGUACAAUACAUUGGAUUCCUAAGAUCUUAUGCAACUAGGGUUUCAUUUCAACUCCUAGACAUAAUGCAAGAUAUAUAAUAUAAUAAUAGAAUUGUAAUAGAUUGAAAUACUGGGAUAUGCACCGGGGCUUGCCUUUACUGGUGAGACUGAAGUCAGAAAUGUCAAUAUCUUCCGAACUUUGGUUCGGGGCUUCAGUUAAUUCCUUGGUGACGUUCAUUUGGCCUUCAGGAAUAUCCUCCGCAGACUCCUGGGAGAUCUCGUAGGUACCGUUGCCGAAGUAAUCGUAUCU